AAACAAUCAUCAUCUGCCAGCCUGAAUCUCUGCAGCAGGGAUGCUCAGGGAGAUGAGAGUCUCAGCUCCAGGAGAUCCAGCUGUUCUCUGGAGGAGUGGAAACACACCCAGCGCUGCCUGGGAGGGCGAAUCUGCAGAGACAGAGCUGUGCAUAAACCCACUGCAACACCAGCUGCAGCACCAACUGCAACACCAGAUGCAGCACCAGAUGCAGCACCAGAUGCAGCACCAACUGCAACACCAGCUGCAACACCAACUGCAGCACCAGCUGCACCACCAACUGCAGCACCAGCUGCACCACUAACUGCAGCACCAGCUGCACCACCAGCUGCACCAUCAGCUGCAGCACCAACUGCAGCACCAGCUGCAACACCAGCUGCAGCACCAACUGCAACACCAACUGCAGCACCAGCUGCUCCUCCUGCAGCACUAGCUGCUCCUCCUGCAGCUGCAGGAGCACCAGGGCAGCCUGGCAGGGGCACAGUUCCUCAGCAGGUGCUUCCACAAAAAAUUUUCUCUACCGAACCCACACCAAGAAAUUAAGACCAGAAGAACAGAACACCCGAAUCACUUGUCUCAAGGACCUUUUCUAAAACAAACCCCCCAAAACACUGACACAUGUGGGUUAAUUUUACUGACAUUCACAAGUUCUUCACUUGCUGAAAAUGAAAAUGCACACAGGGAGUGGCUGGAGCUCCCAGAGUGGAGCAGCUGGCAGCAGUCUGGCAGCAGGGAUGCACAUGAGGGCUGAGCUGGUCCCUUCCAGGGCCCCUCUCCUCAUCUGUCACCUCCAGCUCCAGAAAAAGCCCCUGACAGGAGCACAAAAGAGCUGCAGUUCUCCAGCAGGAGACUCAGGGCUCUCAUUUUCCAAGGCUCACAUCAUUUCUUUAGUGCAGCAGUUGAUGAUCCACCUCCAGACACUCCAGUGAAUUCAGCACUUCAGCCACGCUCUCCAAACCUGACAGAAUUUCCCCUCUGUCGAUGAGUCAUUAGCAGAGCAUUUCCAUUUUCCUCUCACUUAACUCCACUGGAAUACAAUCCCACUCGCUGGAGUGACACAGGCAGGACUGAUUUCCUUGGGAGAGUUUCUGCCCCCUUCUCCUUCUCUAGAGUUCUUCAAAGGAAGAAGAAUUGCAAGAUGACAGUCACAGGAUGUGAUUCAGAAACCCCUCCAGCAUCCACAGCUCCCAUCCCCUGGAUCAGAACAAGAGAAACAUCCCUGGAAUUGUGGAGGAUGUGGGAACGUGAACGUGGCUGCUCUUUGGUGACACAAAUCUGAGAUCAGAAGUUUUUGUUAAACAUACAAAUCCUUCCCCAGCCAGCACAAAUUAAAGUUCAAGCAGCUGGAUGUUGUGGCCAGCCUCUGUCCCAGGGAGUUUAGCACCUGCCCUGCCAAAAAUGUGGAAUAUCCUUUGAUAAUCAGCUCCAACACAGGUUUUCCACCAGAUUUCCAGAUUUCCCAGAUCAGCCCCACCACUCUCAGAGGCUCAGAUCAGACUCUGCUCAUUCAGCUCCCAUCAUUUCCUGAUCUCUGCUCUGCUUC
rnacentral:lncRNA from 1 species